rnacentral:lncRNA from 1 species
AAAAUAUUCAAAAUUUAUUUUUAGAUUGAGCUAUACCUGUAGUUCAGGCCCUGAUUAUAUAAUUGGCAAUUAUAUGUUUUGAGGACCAUGGUCAGAGAUGAAAUUGUAUUUUGGAUUUUAACUUUUUAUUUUCAGGUACCUAACUGUCAUGAGAUUCAAUCAGUUUUGGACAAUAAAUUCCUUAAUAUCUCAACUGUUGGUCUCUCCUCUAAGAAGGAGGCGGGUGACAAGCACACAGAGCUCACUGCUAAACUACUACAAUCAAGUAAGUUUUCUUCUUGCUUUCAUUAACAUUAAUGUAUUUUCCAAAAUAUGCAAGGAGUUAAUGGAGAAAGCAUCUGUGUAGUCUACAUUAUGAGAGAAAUUUAUUAUAUACUAUGUAAUGAGUUUGUUCCUAUACUUGACAUGGUAUAUCUCAUAAGCAGUUAGAUUUUUGAUUGCCUUUUAUGCUUUUCAGAUGACCUACACACACAUUUUUAUUUUUAUUUUGACUGACUAAGGUGUUUUCUUAAGUCAUUUCCUGCUUUGUCACCCUAGUCUGGAGAACUUUUCGUAAAUGCUAUGAACCAUGUAAGACUCGCAUAAUAAAUGCAUUUCUCAGGUAAAGACUAAAAUAUUUUUUAUGAGGCUUGUUGUAUCCUAUUUCUACCUAGAUGGAGAGCUCAUGAUGUGAACCCGUAACAGAUUAGAAAGAGUUGCAAUGUUAUGUGGUCCAGGAGUUACUUCUUUACUAGUCAUCUGCUCAUUUUCUACCUUUCUGUCAUAGCAUUUUGACUGUCACCUUCCCCCUCUACCAUUCUUCCUCUGUAACAAAGAUGAUGCCACACAGUGCCCCAAAGGCGUUGCGUCCCCCUUAGUGAAAUGGCCACAUUGCAUAUAAAUAAAUAUAAAUAAUCUCAUAUAAAAUAGCAAAGAGCACAGCAGAAAACUUGAAAAUCCUUGAAAGACAUUUUGCACUGCAUGUAUUGUUGACUUAAGGCAAAAUAUUCACUUGCUCAAAUCAGCUCAUUUUGUAGUUUCCUUGUCAUACAUCUUAAUGUCAGCAACAUCUGCAGUGGAAUUAUAAUGUGGAUCAGUGCAGAUUAUCACCAGUUAAUAAAGAGUCAAAAGCAUGUUUUAGGUAGCGCAGCCUCUUCAGUUAAUUUCUGUGAAUAAUGUACCCACAUAUUUUUGGUAACAACAUACAUCAAACACAAAAGCUAUGUGCAGCGUAAGAUGUUAUUUUUUUAAAAAUUUAUUUAUUUCUUUUUUUUUUUUGCAUGUCCAAGAUCAAAUCCAGCAGCUUGGUCUCCUCUUCAGAUCUUAGCUCCAAAUAUUCAUUUUUACUUAACAAAAUCAUUUGAGUGCUCAUUUUGACAUAAAACUCACAGGGGAAGUGCUCUUAACUUUAUGUACACCUCUAUAAUCAGAAGGGAAAAUAUUAAAUUAAUGAAUUCAGAGGAUCGUUCCUUAAACACUGAUUCUCAGAGUGAAUGGAGAUCAUGGGGGAAUCUUUCAUCUUAACAGUGUCAUUUUAAGUCAUAGCAAAAAAAGAUCAAAGUUUUGAUAAUUUCAACUGCAAGGUUUUGGGCGCACUGCUGACUCAUUAAGCGUGAGCUGGAGUUUUCAAAACCAUCUUGGAGAUGUCCAGAGUUCACAACAGAUGAAAAGGGAACCGUAUUCCCCAGCCCCAGAGGCAAUUUUGAAAAUAUAAUUCUAGUUAUUAGUGGAUGUUAUUAACCAUACAAAACUUCUGCCUUAUCUUUGUUAUCUCAAGAAACACUUUUUCUGAGAGUACUGUUUCUGAGAGUUUGAUUGAUUUAUCCCCAGUUGAUUGCCUUUUAGAUGGUGGCACUUUCCAUUUUAUGGAAAUGCCAUAAGGCUUUAAAUACUGAGAUUCAGAAAGGGCUCUAGGGGUGAACAGAUAACUGUCCAGGACCCUAAGACCCACAGGGUACAAACUAGAUAAAUUAAACAUUGCUACAAAUUGACUAGUGCUUGAGUGGGAGUUGGAAGGUGUGUGUUAGUCUCUACAAGUGUCCUCCACAAGGCUGCUGGCUUUGUUUAGUUCUGAACAACAGGGCAGCACUUGUCAGUCCAGCAGUCUCCAAGGACAAUAGAAAUAGGCUUAGCAGCUUAACAUUUACCUGUAGCCAGCUUUCUUGUGAGCACUUAAAAUGCUCUCACAGUAAGCACAAACAUUUCAAGUGAAUACUGCAGUUUCAAACCCACUGGUUUCAAGGAAAUGCUUUUAGGAUCAGAGUUUUUUUGUAGUAAAGUCCAUGUUGUGGCCCAAACUACCUGGUAAUGAAAGUUUUAGAACUGUGUGGUUUUCCUCUGGUUUCCACAGGGAUGUGCUCUCCCACCUGCAUUCAGGAGCGCUCAAAGAACUGGCUGGGGUUAAUGUAGAAGUGUUACAUGCACAGCAAACCUGUCCGUGUCUGUAGUGUUAGCAGCAAUGGAUGGCUGGUUUUUUUUAUUAAUUACAAUUUUUAAUUAAUACACUAAUUAAUACUAAGCUGCUGCAUCUUCACUG